GAUGAACGCUGGCGGCGUGCCUAAUACAUGCAAGUCGAGCGAACAGACGAGGAGCUUGCUCCUCUGAUGUUAGCGGCGGACGGGUGAGUAACACGUGGAUAACCUACCUAUAAGACUGGGAUAACUUCGGGAAACCGGAGCUAAUACCGGAUAAUAUAUUGAACCGCAUGGUUCAAUAGUGAAAGACGGUUUUGCUGUCACUUAUAGAUGGAUCCGCGCCGCAUUAGCUAGUUGGUAAGGUAACGGCUUACCAAGGCAACGAUGCGUAGCCGACCUGAGAGGGUGAUCGGCACACUGGAACUGAGACACGGUCCAGACUCCUACGGGAGGCAGCAGUAGGGAAUCUUCCGCAAUGGGCGAAAGCCUGACGGAGCAACGCCGCGUGAGUGAUGAAGGUCUUCGGAUCGUAAAACUCUGUUAUUAGGGAAGAACAAAUGUGUAAGUAACUAUGCACGUCUUGACGGUACCUAAUCAGAAAGCCACGGCUAACUACGUG
rnacentral:rRNA from 1 species